UACACCCCAUAUAUUGAGGAGGCAUGGUAUAAGGACACCCUGAAUCCAUCCUAGCUUUAUUCCUGUGUGAUUCUGCUGGGAUGUUCCAACCUGGCCAGCUUCUAUAUUGGGGUCCUGGAACAUUACCAGGAGAGCCAAAAUCACCUGCGCCAACGGAUAACUUUUUUCUUUUGCGCACAUGCAUAUUAUUUUAGAGGGUAUCCUAACACUUUAACUAGCGACCUAUUCAGAAAGAGUCUACACCUUACAGGGGGAGGACUCGGAUCGGAGCGUGAACUAGAGGGGAACGUAGUCCGAUACACCAGGCGUGUUACCCCGAAACAGUUCGUUCUAGUGACCCUACGUUUCCUUUAUUACUGUAAAUAAAUUCUAACUCUUUGACAUCUGCAGAUGGAUCUCGAUUUUUGUCUCGAAUUCUAUUACUCGGUUCCGGUGUGCAUCGCUCCAGUACUCGAGGCGGAUCUCGCAGUUUUGAUGCAUUGCAACGCGGAUUAAUUUCGCGACGACGGUAAUCAAGUUUAUGGAAACAAGAGCUGGGCGUUUAGAAACAGACGCGUUGCAGUGGGUGGAGCGAUUGACGAACAAUAAUUGAUCGUUCGUUGUGGAUCGUUAGAUACGUUUACCCCUAAUAAACCAAUUACGAAUGAUCCUCUAUUAAAAGAAUUAGUUGUAUUCGAUAAUUGCCGAAUACACGCAGGUGUCUCGAUUAGUCGUGCUUGUUUAUCGGUUUUCGAAGAUAUGUUCACGAUACGUCCGAUAAACGUGUUAUUUCGCAGUGAGCAAAUGAUCUGUCAAUCGAAUGAAAUUUUAUCCAUCUUAAGCCCUACGAUUGCACCGUUAUCCGUGAAUUUUUCUGUUUCGAUCUGUUUCAUAAAUUCAUCGCGAGUCGUUGGAAAGAAGAUGUACAGAGAAGCUCGACAAAUAAAGAGGUUAAUUAUUGGAGAAGUUACUCGCAGCCGACGGAAUGAAUUGAACGAAAUUGCACGACUGAUUGUCAAUCCUACUCGUCCGAGUAACCAAGCGUUGAAUUUCAAACUAACAACUCCUCGUGGAGGGAAGGAGUCUCGUUCUAACGACGUUACCAGCGCCAACAAUUUCUUCUGGAAAGAAAAGACGACGCGAUCGCUCUUCGAAGCGAUGAACAAUAUUUACUUAAUUCAAUCAAGAGACUACGUUAGGCUUAUUUAAAUCGAAAUUUAUCUUCUUCGUACAUUGUUAAAGUACGAGUGUACUUAACUUUGUGAGUCACCGCUGAAUUUUAUUUUAUCUUCAAGUGGGACAUUAGCUAAACAAUAGAACUGAAAAUGAUUGCUGUUACUUAACGACGUACGUUUCGACGAUAAUGUUUUGCGAAAAUAGUGUUUUCCCCUGGGUACUUCAAAAAAAAAAAAAAAAGUGAAUUUCCAAUUUAACGAGACCGCAGAGAGAAAAGCCAGACUGGAUACGAUUACGAGUAAUGUGCCAAGCGUAGAAAGUAAUCUUGGAAAAAAAACUACACCACUGAUAUUGCAAUAACAAUGCAAAUCGUUUUUGCACCAAAAAACGAUACCGUGAAAACAAAGGAGUUACAACAAACGCUCCCUCCGAUAACUUUUCCUCGCUCCAAACAGUACUUUAACGUUAAAUUUCCUUUAACCACUCUCGUUCAGCAGACUGAUCGUUUCAUCUUUCCCUCUGAAGUUGAAAACUCUCUCCGAAAGGCGGGAACAAACGUAAAGGAAGCGUCACUUACGUCUCGGCUGUCACGCGCACUCGACAGGUAAUUUUCGAGUCCGCGGAAAAUUUCAGUCACUCGAGGACUACGUAGCACGAUCAAACCACUUUCGAGAACAUAUCGAUACGCGCUGCACGACGCUCACCGCGAGACUGAAGAGGCGAACGGCUUCACACAAACGUGCGGUCUUGGCGUCUACCAAUCAGUGCCCGCGGAUUCUUGCGUGGCUACGGCGUCCACGUAUGCGCGUUCGCAUGUAGUGCAGGAGAAUGACGAAUCACAUCGAUAAAUUGGAGUGACUUGAAACUGUGUCAUUAUUCGUCGAGACAAUGUAGAUGGUGCAACGGUGAAAUCAGCGAAGGUGAUAGAAAAUUGAUGUCAAGGAAGAGUCUGCUGUGUUUAAAAUUGACGCGAAGUGGAUCUAUUGUUUCGAAUAUUCUCGAGCGGUCAUUUUGAGGGUCAGGUUCAAAAGGACUCUCUCGAGAGAGAGAGAGUUCGAUUGAUAAAUUAAUCCGUGAAUUACAUUAAUACGGUCAGUUUCAGUAAAAAAAAUUACAAAGUUUGAACGUUCUGGCGUGAAAUCUUUAUUCAAAAAGGAGUAUCUUCAUAAAUCUUACACACCCAAUUCUCCAGAGUUGGAAACUCUCGUCGACGUUGGAAAGUAAUACUUUACUCGAUCGAUUUUGUUCCAACUUCGAUGGGUUUUGUUGCGAAUGAAUACAUUUGCUUCGAUCCCUUGGGAUUUUCGUCGAAAACAUUCGUGAUAUCUUGUUGUGUCGGUUCUGCGAUUCGAUUCUAAGCCACGUGUUUCGAGGAUUACUGGUUCGUCCAUUUGCUUUUGCAAUAAACCUUUUUAUUUAAUUUACCAAACGCUGCAUGCAAUUAUAUUCAGUUAUUCCAUGGUAUUUGAGCAUUUUUCUAACGCAAAAUUUAACAAGUAUUGUGAGAAAUAAAACAUGUAAAAUAAAUAAAUACGA